GCUGCUGACAGAGAGGAUGAAAACACACACAUUUUGAUGUCCACGCUGUAGGAGCAUUACUAAAUAAUGCUUAUGUUCCUAGGUUCUUCCAUGCUGAUGGCUGCGCUCUAGUCAUAUCUCCUGUCGAAGAACAUUUUUAGACAUUAUGAACCAUGAAUAAGUUUAGCUCCAACCCCAGUUAAGCAGACCUGAGCAGCUGAUCAAGGAUCAGCAGAAACUCUGCAGAACAUUGGUCCUUCAGCCCAGGACUGGACACCAGUGUUAGUGUCUGUCUCAGAAGCUGAAGAAAAAAGGCCACACCUUAUAGGAAAUAAACGCCUCCUAAGUGUACGGAAAUACCUGGCUGAGGAGAUCAGUGACAUAAACCAGAUAAAACUGUCAGUGGUCUGAGACAGCUACAAGCCACAAAAACAGUUCAUAGUUCCUGCAUUUCUAUUAAUGCAUUAAUGAAUAACAAUAAUUAAAAUAAAAUGUAAUGUCAAGGUUUUGUGUUAAUUCCAGCUAUGUUGAGUAUUCUGUGAAUAAUUUAGAUUUUAGGUGCAUAUUCUUAA